UCCCUCGCCUGCGCGGCUGUCAGCUGUACACAAUCCAGCCAAUCACGGCACGCCUGACGGAAAACCGGAAGGGCCAAGUCUCGCCGCCCGGCAGGUUUACGACCUCGGGCUGCUGUGCGCUUGAUUUCAGAAGGUUUAGCAGAGGGUCUAAGCAAAAUCUGAGGCGUCUGCGGACGGAGAAACGGGCCGAAGAGCGUACUCUGUCAGAAGAGAUUAUGCUGCCAACUCCUGUGCUAUUGAUCCUCCCCAACCCCCGUGUCCAAAUCCCCAGAGUUUUUUGCAAAGCAGAGUUUUGGCUUUGAACAUAUUGGUCCAAUUCCUUCUACAGUGGGUUCAUUGAGUGCCUACUGUUUACUUAGCAUUGAACCAGGCACUGGUGAUUGGAACAGACAAAAUACCAAAAAUCCUGCUCUCUACAAUUAAAAUGGACAAGUAUUCAUUGAGUCUCUCUUUGGAGACAUAGAUAGAAGAUAAAUCACCGCGAAGUUUCCCACAAGAAAGAAAGGAGACCGUGCAUUUUCACAAACACCUUCAUCUGCCUUAGGGAAGAAAACAGUGAAGUGUGUUAAGGACUGGGAGCUCGUAGGACUGGAAAAUAUGAAAGCUUCCUACAUCGGCAGAGUUGAGGGUGUUUCCACAGAAGAUAGAGUGAGCAAAGGUUGAGGAAUAGAAAAACGAUUUGACUGGAGUGUCGAAGACAGUCUGGAAGUGAUGCUAGAAGCAACUUCUGUGAGAAGCUUUGGCCCUGAGCACUUAUCUGUAGAUAAAUGGGUACCCAUUCAAUGUUAGGGGGGUUGUUUGUUUAUUUUUAAAGAUUACGGUUAGAAAGAUGAUCCGAUUAGAAAGAGAUAAUAAGGAAAACUGUACAGAAAGUUCCUGAAAUAAAUCUCUACAAUCAAGUCCUUCGAGAGUGAAAGGCAUUGAAAAACGAAGACAGCCCAUGGAUUGGAAUUACAUUUCAAUAGUAGACGGUUCAAGAGCUGGCAAAAGAUGGAAUUUAAUUUUCCUUCCUAAUUAUGUUUUAGUUAAAUUAUUAUUUAAAUUAGUUGGCAUUCCUGGAGCAACCGAACAGCACUGUAACUGAGAGAAGCCAGAUUGCAAAUUAAAAGUGAAUAAUCCC